GUUUACAGCCACAUCACCCUGAAUGCACAGGAUAUUGUCUGAUCUCAGAAGUUAAUCAGGGCCCGGCCUGGUUAGGACUUAAAAAAGUAAUUGAUUAAAUUGUUAAUUCAAGUAGCACA
rnacentral:rRNA from 2 species